GACGAACGCUGGCGGCGUGCUUAACACAUGCAAGUCGAACGGAAAGGCCCUGCUUUUGUGGGGUGCUCGAGUGGCGAACGGGUGAGUAACACGUGAGUAACCUGCCCUUGACUUUGGGAUAACUUCAGGAAACUGGGGCUAAUACCGGAUAGGAGCUCCUGCUGCAUGGUGGGGGUUGGAAAGUUUCGGCGGUUGGGGAUGGACUCGCGGCUUAUCAGCUUGUUGGUGGGGUAGUGGCUUACCAAGGCUUUGACGGGUAGCCGGCCUGAGAGGGUGACCGGCCACAUUGGGACUGAGAUACGGCCCAGACUCCUACGGGAGGCAGCAGUGGGGAAUAUUGCACAAUGGGCGGAAGCCUGAUGCAGCAACGCCGCGUGCGGGAUGACGGCCUUCGGGUUGUAAACCGCUUUCGCAUGUGACGAAGCGUGAGUGACGGUAAUGGGUAAAGAAGCACCGGCUAAAUACGUG
rnacentral:rRNA from 1 species